rnacentral:rRNA from 1 species
AGUCAACGGGCUCACAUUUUGUAGCAAUACAUUUUGUGAAUCAGUGGCAGACGAGGUAGUAACACGUAGGGACCUACUUUUAAGACGGGAAUAAUUCGCCGAAAGGCGGACUAAUACUCGAUAAUAUCUUCGGAUUAAAGAAGCAAUUCGCUUAGAAAAGGACCUGCGGAGUAUCAGCUAGUUGGUAAGGUAACGGCUUACCAAGGCUAUGACGCUUAGGGGACCUGAGAGGGUGACCCCCACCGAUGGAACUGAGACACGGUCCAUACACCUACGGGUGGCAGUAGCCGAGAAUAUUCGACAAUGGAGGAAACUCUGAUCGAGCGACGCCGCGUGAUGGAUGAAGUCCCUCUGGGACGUAAACAUCUUUUAUAGAGGAGAAAGCUUCGGCUGAUAGUACUCUAAGAAUAAGGGGUUGCUAAACUCGUGCCAGCAGCAGCGGUAAUACGAGUGCCCCAAGCCGUUAUCCGGAUCAUUGGGCGUAAAGGGUGUGUAGGCGGUGUUGUUAGUCUUCUGUUAAAACUUCGGGCUCAACUCGAAGACUGCAGAGGAAACGGCAAUACUUGAGGAUGCGAGAGGUGAAUGGAACUCAUGGAGUAGGGGUGAAAUCCGUUGAUAUCAUGGGGAACACCGAAAGCGAAGGCAAUUCACUGGCGCAUUUCUGACGCUGAAACACGAAAGCGUGGGUAGCGAACGGGAUUAGAUACCCCGGUAGUCCACGCCCCAAACGAUGUCAACUGGCUUUGGGAGGUAUCAACCCCUUCCGAGGCGAAGCAAACGCGUUAAGUUGACCGCCUGGGUAGUACGGCCGCAAGGCUAAAACUCAAAGGAAUAGACGGGGACUUGCACAAGCAGUGGAUUAUGCGGUUUAAUUCGUAGGUAAACGAAGAACCUUACCAAGGUUAGAAGAUCAAACGAAGCAAAGCAGAAACGUUUUGCGUCCGCAAGGACGUUUGAACAGGUGAUGCAUGGCCGUCGUCAGUUCGUGAUUUGAAUUGUUCCCUUAAGUGGGGUAACGAACGCAACCCUCGUUGCCAGUUACAAGUGUCUGGCGAGACUGCCCCGAUUUAAGUUUUUGAGAUUUAUCGAAAAUUUAAAUCGGGGAGGAAGGCGAGGAUGACGCCAGGUCAGCAUGUCCCUAGAUACCUUGGGCUACACGCAUAAUACAAUCGCAUCUACAACGGGUCGCGACGGAGUAAUCGUGAGCUAAUCCUAAGAAAAGGUGCGUCAGUUCAGAUUGGGGGCUGAAACUCGACCCCAUGAAGUUGGAAUUGCUAGUAAUCGCGGGUCAGCUAUACCGCGGUGAAUACGUUCUCAGUCUUGUACUCACCGCCCGUCAACUCAAGGGAGAUGGGAGUACCCGAAGGAUCCCUUAUAGGGGUAACACGG